AUACAAAACAGUGUUUCACUGUAGCAACAUCCUUAUAAUCCAAAUUUCUUCACCACGCACCCUGCCUGUUUUUCGGGUUAAAAUCCGUCUGUCAGCUGAUGGUUAUUUAUGGCGCCGCUGACCUGCCUGCUGGAUAAUUAAUAAUAGUCUGAUUCAUCCCAGUCCAAAUGUACAUGGUCUGCUCUGAGGUAGGACACAGCACAGCCAGCACAGAAAAUCCCCAGAGAUUUAGUGCUCUCUGACUCCAAGCGCAGCCUGCAGAAGCCCAGCAGCCCACAGUGCUCCUCCUGGAAUAAUUACCCCAUCACAUUUUGUCAAAGGGAGACAGAGCGGUCACGGGAAGUAUGUGCCAUGUUGUUAUUUUGUGAUAAUGGUAAAAAGUUUGAAGGUAUGUGAGGGGGUAGUGUUCGCACCAAUAACAUUCCAAGGCUUCUCAUAUAAAUCUACAAUUAAACCGUUUCAAUGACCUAUGUUGUCUUUAGUUUUUUGUCUUGUCUCAAUGUCACUCCUAAAAGUCUGGAGAGGAACUUAAAUAAAUGAACGGACGUGAGAACAGAUUGUAUUACCAUCUUGAAAAAGACCAAAACUUCUUCUCUCUACGCAGGAGUCACUGGGGAGCCAGAAGAGGGACACCCCGCCUGUCUUUGGCUGCACGAUGGUGUAUCUGGUCUGUAUCUACGCCGCUGCCGCAGUAUACGUAGGCCUAAUGUGUGAUGCUGUGUGGAGGACCUCCUGCCAGCAUGAACCAGAGGCCUCGCUGUUCUGUCGGUGGGAUCCAACACAGGCACCAUGCUGCGGAGACCCAGACCAUCUUUGCUGGGACCGCUGUCCCCCGGAUGAAGUGUGGUCAGUCUGCUUUUCUUCGGAGAAGAACGAUAAUGUGUCCGAAGUUCCUGAUAGAGCAUUGAGCCCAAACAUGGUUGGCAUUGCCUGUUAGCAUUGCCCUGCAUAGCUUAUCUCACCCUUCCCCUCCCUGCUGCUGGUGAUAUGCAGCCUACCAGUCAAUGUUGGAAGCAGCCCAAUUGGACAGUGAUUUGAAAACUGCAUAAUGAGAAAAUGUACAAGAUUGGUUCUGUAUCAUUCAGUAUCUGUUAGAUAAGUGCUAUUUGAACUGGCUUACUAUUUUACCAGAGGAUAAUAGUUUUAUGUUUAAAGAUCAAUAUUUGGAUACGCCAUCCUCUUCGCUAUUAAUACUGCAGUUAUUUAUGGAAGAAAACCUAUAUUGAAUAUAUUGCAUAUAUAAAUCUUAAUUUCUUUCACUUUAUAUAUUGUGAUUGUCACGCCGCACAACACAGAAGGCAAACCCCUCGAGAAAACC
ensembl:lncRNA